CCUGGAUUCAAGAGAUUCUCCUUGCCUUAGCCUCCUGAGUAGCUGGGAUUACAGGCACCCGUGAUGGUGUACUUCUCUGUGCCAUUAGCUAACGGCCAGUCUCCCCAGUUCCACAAGGGCAGAGACCCCAUCUGCCAAGGGAUGAGCUGGGCACAUUGCAGGAUUGAUCAUUAUUUGUUGCAUGAAUGAGUGAAAGAAUGAAUGCAUGCAUUCACUUUGGCUACACUGGGAGAAUGAGGUAGAGGUUAGCAAGCAAAGAUGCCAUCUAUGAACACUUAUGAGGCUUUUCUGGGACUGACCCAGGUCAGCGACGUGCAGGCUGUGAAUGUGGGUGGCAGGCGUGUGAAUUAAGACAAUGGACAUACUGAGGGGCUUGGGCAUUAAUUCUGAUGCAGGACUUACAGGACCUAAACCUACAACCUGCUGCAUUCUUCCCUUAUUUGAGCAUGGGCUAUAAGAGUAGAAGACCCAGAUCCUACCUACAGAAUUUUUUCCUCAGCCUAGAAACCCCCUGCCACCUUACACACCAAAAAAAAGUUGGAAAGUUGUUCUUCGAGUUGGGGAAGGGGAUAACCAGAGUGAGGGGUCUGGGCACAGCACAACCAAUCAGGAUGGCAGGCAGUAAGAGUGGACAAGGCUUUCACCCCUGGAACUUGCUUUGGGUGCAGAACACCUAGCAGGACCCCCAUGCUGACCCUCCUUUCCUUGCUUGCUGAUACACUUGGACAUGGCUUUUGGCCCCUGUCCACUCUUUUCUUGUUUCCUGAAGGCACCAACAGAUGCAAAGCCACCAUAUUAAAAGCUUUUAUGCCUGAAACUCUCCUCAACAAGGAAACAGAGCUAAGGACACAGGGCUGGACCACAUAGGACCACUGGUAGAGAUUGCUAAUUGUCCCACUCUCUCUAUUCUACCCUUCAUAACUAUUUGUAGAAUAAAGGGGCAUGUCACCUCUCAGUAUAAAACUACAUUUCCCAAACUCCUUUGCAGCUAGCAUGUGGUCACAUGAUCAAACUGUGGCCAAUGAGUGGAAGUGGAGUACACAACUUCCUAAGUCAGGCUCCAGGAAGGAAGCCCUUUUCUCUUCCUGCCCCUUGACAUGAAGAUGAAAUUGAAGUUGCAUGUUAACAAAGGCAGAGCAACAAGACAGAAAGAGUCUGGGUCCCUGAUAAUUAUGGGGCCACCAUUCCAGCACUAGGCCAUCCACCCAGAUUUUUAUGUAAGAGAAGUAAACUUGUGUUUAAGCCCUAUUCUUGUGGGUCUUUUCAUGCAGCAACCAGACUGAUAUCCUGACAAAUAUACAACCCAUUGUAGGAGGGAUAGGAAGGGCUCAGAGAAGGGGAUGUGGGUUGGAAACACACCUUAAAGUUGUGAGGAUUUGUGAAUCUCAGUUUGUAAAUUAAGGUAAUAACACCCAAUCAUUAGAUCACCCCUUUCUUCCCUCCCCAGCCUGGGAGAAUUUUUCUCUAUUCCAAGGGUGUUGGAGAAAGAAGAAUCCCCUCCUUCCUUUGCUGCUCCAAGAUAUUGUGUCUUUGCUCACAAAUCUGAAUUUUUCUAGGAGCUUAGGCAUUGAGAAGCAGAAGCCAGGAAGGUGGUAACAUACCUGUGUUUCCUGGACAGCCCCAUCCCAACAGGAUGGCAGACCUGGAACUUGCUCCUAAUCAAUAGAAUACAGCAAAGGCAUGGGAUGCAGGUGAUUCUGUGUACAUGGUUACGUAACUAAAUAGAUAAGAUUGUAGCACCUGUCUUGCUGGAGUGUUUCACACUCUUGCUGGCUUUGAUGAAGCAGGUGGCCAUUUGAGGCCCAACUGAGAGUGGCCUGUAAAACUGAGGGCAGCUGACAGCCAGCAAGAAAAUGAGCCUUCAGUCCUGUAAAUGCAAGGAACUGAAUUGUGCCAAGAGCUGCAUGAGCUUGGAAGCAGAUCCUUCCUCAGUCAAGCUUCCAGAUGAGGACCCAGUCCUGACCCAUACUUUGAUUGCAGGCUUGCAGAGGGCCCAGCUCAGCCAUUCCAAGAUUCUUGACCCACAGAAGCUGAGAGAAUACAUAUAUGCAUCGCCUGCCUCUGAAUUUGUGAUAAUAUUGUUCUGCAGAUAUCUAUAUCUAGCUAUCAUAAAUGAUGUAUGUAAACAACCACAUAUCACACAUUUGUUUGGCCAAGCAUGGUAUCCCAUCCCUCUGACCACGGUGAUUGGCACAGAUAAGGGCACUUGACAAAGCUAGGCCAAUCAGCCUUCUUCCCUGGGAUUUUGUAAACAAAGGCAGAGAAAAAGGAGCCUUGUCUUUCCUCUCCGCUUGCUCAGAUGGUAUGAAGUAAGUUUAUGGUUGUGAAAUUCAUGUUCUUCUCCUACAGCAUGGAGGAAACGCUACACAGCAGGAAAGAAUAAAACUGGCUCACAAAGAGGAGCCCUGAGACACACUGAAAAAGGCUGGUUGCCAUAAUCUGAGUAGCAGGGACUGCCACACCUGAGGCCAGCCCAGCCCUAGAUAUCCCAGGUACACGAGCCAUUAAAUUCCUCUUUUUGCUUGUCCUGGCUCCCAUUGUGUUCCCCGAGCUCCUGGAGGUCAGAGCAUCUGCCAACUUCCACAUAACGUCCCCAGAUGGCCCAGCUCAGAAAGUUUUUCCAGAAUAAGUAUAGUAAAUGGUGAAUGGAUGUGAGAACCUUACUAUAUGUCAAGGUCCCCAAAGAGCAUUCACUUAUAUGACCUUAUUUGAUCUUUACAAACAAUCCUGCAUAAUCAUUACUGCAUGAGUUAGAUGGUUUUGACCAUUAUUAUUGGGAAAACCCCAAUAAAAUGGCUUAAAUCAUAAGAGGAUUUACGAAUUCAUAUGAGAAUCUCCCCAGGGACAUUCCAGGCUCAUAAGUCCAUUCAGUUUUGCUUUCCUGUGAGUCUUACGGCUCCACACCUCUUGCCAUUGGCUUCAACCUGAGGUCAAUAUAAAGGUGGCAAGCAGCUCUGGGCAUCACAUGCAGACCUAGCAGUGCUCAGGGGAAGAGGAAUAACCAUCUCUUCCUUUCAUGUACUUUCUUCUUUUCAGACAUAUUUUUAAGUGAAAUUAUAUAUCUAUAUGUGUGUAUGUAUAUAUAUAUGUGUAUAUAUAUAUAUAUGUUGGUUUCAUUUUAGUUCUAGAGUCUUUUUUUUUUUUUUGAAAAAUGAUGUUAUUUUGCAGCUUACCCCCCUUGUGUUUCUAUCAGUUUUACAACAUUCUCUAAUUCAGUGGCUCUCAAGUGUGGUCUGGACCAUCAGCAUCACCAUCAUCUGGGAACUUACUUGCUACAAACACUUGAAUGAAUGCCUCCCAACCUGUUGACUCAGAAGCACUGAGAAUGGGCCUGACCAUCUGCAUUUUAGCGGGCCUCUGGGUGAUCCUGAUGUAUGCUCAAGUUUGAGAUCUACUGCUCUAAUUAACUUAUUUAUUUAUAUUUUUUGAGACAGAGCGAGAGCUCUGUUGCCUAGGCUGGAGUGCAGUGGUGUGAUCAUAGCUCACUACAACUUCAAAUGCCUGGGCACAAAAGAUCCUCCCACCUCAGCCCAAGUAGCUGGACUACAGGUGCACACCACCACACUCAGCUUAUUUUUUUUUAAAUAGAGACAGGGUCUCACUAUACUGCCCAGGCUGGUCUCAAACUCCUGGCCUCAAGAGAUCCUCCUGCCUCAGCCUCCCAAAGUGUUGGGAUUACAGGACAGGUGUGUACCACCACGCCAGCCCCCACUCUAAUUUAUUUAUCUAUUUCCCUGUUGACAUUCAAGUUGUUUCCAAUUUUUUGUUACCGGUGCUACCAUACAACCCUUUUUAAGUGCUUUUGCAUCCUGUAAGAACAUCUCUUCUCUCAAAUUUUUCCCGGUUAAUUUUUCAUGUUGACUUUUCCAGAUGAACUCUUCCAGAUGAGUGAGUCUGCUUGUAAAUUCCAGUCUCAGUGGGAUUACAUUGAAUAUAUGCUUUAAUUUGGGAAGGAUUGACAUCUUGACAAUAUUGAGUUUUUCCAUCAAAUAUUGAAAUCCUACAGGAUUUUUAAAGUAUAAGUCACACAAUUAUAUGUAAUUUAGGUAUGCUUUAUUAUUAUCCCAAAUGUAACAAUUGUAGAAGAUACUAUAAUGGUCUUCUCCUUUCACUGAAUUUUAUGAAAUUAGAAACAUAAUAAUGAAGGGUCAAGUGUAUGAUCUUCUUGUUUUUCUUGAGAUUGUCUCAUUUCUUAUGUUGGACUCUCAAUUGUUAUUCAGCUAUGCUUAUGUCUCUUUUUGAGAGCAAAGAAACCUUUCCCAGAAAUCCCCCUAAUAGACUUCCCAUGUUCUCUUGGCUAUGACAGUUUUAACAACGUCGCCCUUAAAUUAUACCCCUCCCUUUGAGACGUGAGGUCUAUACCCUCCCUUGAAUCUGAGCUAGGUGGGUCAAGUUCCUGCUUGACCAAUAAACUAGGACAAAAGUGACACUGCCAGUUUCUUAGGGCUCAGACCAUAAAAAACCAUCAGCUUCUACUUCUUGUCUCUUGGGACACUCACUUUUGGAACCCAGCCAAGCAGGGGUCCCCUGGCCCUCAGCCUAGGCUGGGUGACCAGUCUACAGCUGGCACAACUUGCCAGCCAUGUGAGUGAGCCCUCUUGGAAAUGGGCCCUUCAGUCCCAGUCAUCUUGGCCCACCUGACACCACAUGGCAGAGACAAGUCGUCCUCACUGAUUCCUGCCCCAAUUACAGUUGUGUUGAGCAAAAGAAAUGCUGUUAUUUUAAGUUUUGAAGUAGUUUGUUAGGCUGCAGUAGCUGACUGUGCCAAUGGCACAGCACACUUCGAUGCCUCAACCACUCACUGGUGUGAGGACUGGGACCUCUGUGAAUGACUUAAACCACCCAGAACCCUCCCCCAGAGGGUGGGGCUAGUGCUAUUAAUAGAACUGGGUUAGUUACCCUGUGGCUGGGCACAGUGGCUCACGCCAGUAAUUUCAGCACUUUGGGAGGCCGAGGCUGGCAGAUCACUUGAAGACAGGAGUUUGAGACCAGCCUGGUGGCCAACAUGGCGAAACCCUGUCUUUACUAAAAAUACAAAAAUUAGCCGGGUGAUAUGGCACAUGCCUGUAGUCCUAGCUACUCGAGAGGCUGAGGCAGGAGAAUUGCUUGAACUCGGGAGGUGGAGGUUGCAGUGAGCUGAGAUUGUGCCACUGCACUCCAGCCUGGGCGACAGAGUGAGACUCCAUCUCCCCCAAAAAAAGAAAAAUUAUCCUUGGGACUUUAAGUUGCUCAGCAAGUCAGUAUACAUAGUAUCAUAGUAUUGUGUAUACAACUCUUUACAGUAAUAUGCAUGUAUAAAUGUAUCAUGGAUAUAUAAUGUGUAGUAUGCAAGAAAGAGUGCAUAUUCAACUAUACUUGCACAGUAUUUUUUAUUAAAAACAUCUUGAGCGUGAAUCAUUACAUGACUGUCAAUUAAAUGCAUACAAGAUAAACACCACUGUAAAUGCUAGAAGAAGGACUCAAUCAUUGAAUAAACAAAGGAAUGAGCCUGG
rnacentral:lncRNA from 1 species